GUGAUCGCUUUGGCAGCACGUAUACUAAAAUUGUAAUAAUACAGAGAAGAUUAGCAUGGUCGCUUCACAAGGAUGACAUGCAAAUUCCUGAAACGUACCAUAUUUUU